CUAGUAACUGCGAGUGAAGCGGGAAAAGCUCAAAUUUAAAAUCUGGCGGUCUUCUGGCCGUCCGAGUUGUAGUCUGGAGAAGCGUUUUCCGCGUUGGACCGUGUACAAGUUUCCUGGAACGGAGCGUCAUAGAGGGUGAGAAUCCCGUCUUUGACACGGAUCCCAAUGCUUUGUGAUGCGCUCUCAAAGAGUCGAGUUGUUUGGGAAUGCAGCUCAAAAUGGGUGGUGAAUUCCAUCUAAAGCUAAAUAUUGGCGAGAGACCGAUAGCGAACAAGUACCGUGAGGGAAAGAUGAAAAGCACUUUGGAAAGAGAGUUAAACAGUACGUGAAAUUGUUGAAAGGGAAACGCUUGAAGUCAGUCGCGUCGGCCGGGACUCAGCCUUGCAUCCGCUUGGUGUACUUUCCGGUCGACGGGCCAGCAUCAGUUUUGACCGCGAGAUAAAGGCGGAGGGAAUGUGGCUCUCUCGGGAGUGUUAUAGCCUUUCGUCAGAUGUCGCGGUUGGGACUGAGGAACUCAGCACGCCUUUAUGGCCGGGGUUCGCCCACGUACGUGCUUAGGAUGCUGGCGUAAUGGCUUUAAACGACCCGUCUUGAAAACACGGACCAAGGAGUCUAACAUGCCUGCGAGUGUUCGGGUGGGAAAAACCCGUGCGCGCAAUGAAAGUGAAAGUUGGG
rnacentral:rRNA from 1 species